UAGGGAAUCUUCGGCAAUGGGGGGAACCCUGACCGAGCAACGCCGCGCGAGUGAAGAAGGUUUUCGGAUCGUAAAGCUCUGUUGUUAAGGAAGAACGAGUGUGAGAAUGGAAAGUUCAUACUGUGACGGUACUUAACCAGAAAGGGACGGCUAACUACGUGCCAGCAGCCGCGGUAAUACGUAGGUCCCGAGCGUUGUCCGGAUUUAUUGGGCGUAAAGCGAGCGCAGGCGGUUAGAAAAGUCUGAAGUGAAAGGCAGUGGCUCAACCAUUGUAGGCUUUGGAAACUGUUUAACUUGAGUGCAGAAGGGGAGAGUGGAAUUCCAUGUGUAGCGGUGAAAUGCGUAGAUAUAUGGGGGAACACCGGUGGCGAAAGCGGCUCUCUGGUCUGUAACUGACGCUGAGGCUCGAAAGCGUGGGGAGCGAACAGG
rnacentral:rRNA from 1 species